rnacentral:rRNA from 1 species
AUUGAACGCUGGCGGCAUGCUUUACACAAGCAAGUCGAACGGUAACAGGCCGCAAGGUGCUGACGAGUGGCGAACGGGUGAGUAAUGCAUCGGAACGUGCCCAGUCGUGGGGGAUAACGCAGCGAAAGCUGCGCUAAUACCGCAUACGAUCUAUGGAUGAAAGCGGGGGACCGUAAGGCCUCGCGCGAUUGGAGCGGCCGAUGUCAGAUUAGGUAGUUGGUGGGGUAAAGGCUCACCAAGCCAACGAUCUGUAGCUGGUCUGAGAGGACGACCAGCCACACUGGGACUGAGACACGGCCCAGACUCCUACGGGAGGCAGCAGUGGGGAAUUUUGGACAAUGGGCGCAAGCCUGAUCCAGCAAUGCCGCGUGCAGGAAGAAGGCCUUCGGGUUGUAAACUGCUUUUGUACGGAACGAAAAGGCUCUGGUUAAUACCUGGGGCUCAUGACGGUACCGUAAGAAUAAGCACCGGCUAACUACGUGCCAGCAGCCGCCGUAAAAC